GAGAAAUUCAAAUACAUAGGAUGACACUGCCCAGAAGAGACAACGAAGAGUGAGGGGCUCAGAGCAAGUGUGCAAGGCUGUCAAGACGAGUAAUCUCAUCUUUUUGUACGGAAUCAAAGAGGUACCUAAGAGGACAUGUUCUUACAAGAUGAGAGGUGAAACGUCUGGGAGUCUGUGGUGUGGUUUAUGUAAACAUUUCGUUGUUUCCCAGACGUUUCA
rnacentral:misc_RNA from 1 species